CUUACUGAACACUUUCCUCAUUCCCCAGGGGCACUUUCACUGCCUUGAAGAUUCCAGCUAAAACUUUCAUGGCUUUGAAGUUCAACUCACUGAAGAACAAUUCAUAUUUUAUAGCUUGAGGAAGUUCACA